AUUGAUAAGCCCUUAAUAGUGUAUACAAGGAGGAAGAGGCGUGAAGCACGUGCGAAUGAAGAUGGUGCUGAGGAGCACGUGCGCUGAAGAAGAAGUCACACGUGUGAAGUGUAUAUAUUGAGACUUAGCUUUCUUUAGAAGAUUUAUGCAUUUUGUUUGUAACUGCCUGUGACGUAUGUGUCUGGGUUUGUGAGAGUAAUGAUCUAGAUUUGUGUUUUAGAGCUCUCUGUAUCGAACAAAUUGUAUUGACUCUUUCAGAUAAUAAGUUUUACAGUUUUCUUGUUAUCAGAAGACCUGCAAUUUCUAGAUUAAUUUUCAUCAAUUUUUUCUCCUUUUAAUAUUAUUAUAAAAUAU
rnacentral:sRNA from 1 species